CGUUCGCAAUGUCUUCUCCUGCGCUGAUAAUUGGCGUCUGUCUUGUGUCAGUGACGUAAAAGACGGAUUUAAUGCGACAUGACCGUUCAAACAGCAGUCGCUUUCUAAAACAUCGGAUAUGUAUCGGAUUCAGUACCACAUACGAAAGUGACCCAGAUCGGAUUUGAAAAUAUCGGAUUUGUGCCGUUCACACUGUCAUACCAUGAUCGGAUAUGGGUCGCAUAGGGUCAGAAAAGUCGGAUUUGAUGCGCUUUCGCCUGCAGUGUGAACGUAGCCAAAAUGUGGCUACAAAUGCGUCCUACUCUGCCCCGAAUUUUAAGGAUGGGUCCGAUCUAUCCUUCGUGUCCUACCAUAUCCCAGGAUUCAUUGCGGUUCAUAGAGGAGAUUUGUUUCUGAUAACGAUGGUGGUCGAAGCAGGAGAGGAAAACGCCUUCAAAUGUAAGUAUAUGAAAAUCUGGUUGUACAAAAGUUAAAUUGUUAUAGCGGUUGUGUUAAGCUUUGGGCAUCUGCAUAGACAUGUUUUUUGGGGGGGGGGUUUAAUUUAAAUAACCGUAAACCAGCUUGUAUCGGUGGUCCCGCGAUUUUUCAUGUAUUGCCGCUUACAUACAGCUAAUUUAGAUUUUUUCGAAUUGGUGAUAUGUUGUGGGGAACAAAGACCAAACGGCUUAAUUUAUUAAAACGAGGAGAAAACGAUCACCUCUUCACUGGGGUGAAGAAUUGGGCCACUGUGGCGUGGAUGCACAAGAAUAAAUCAAUUUACACAUCAUAUUCAUAUGAGUACGGUCCUAUUAACCCUCAUGCCGUACAGCAGCGGUCCCCCAACCUGUUUUGAGCCACAGACCGGUUUAUGUCAGACACGGAGCGGCCUUUAAGGUAUCGCGGAUAAAUACAACCACAUAAAAUGAUCCGACCAAGACAAAAACUGUGGUAUUUUGUAAAUAUAAUAAUAAACGUGAAUGUACUGUGUAACUGUAACUUUAUUAGCAGCGUCCUCCUGAAAAUGUGCCAAUAUUGACAGUAACAUCCUCCUCUCUGCCACUUAAUGCUCUCUGCUCGCUAUGGUAACGUGUAAAUAUUUCUUUCAAAAUAAGACACACAACUACAACAAGGGAAAGACUCAGGGAAACCGAGUUAACGAUAAAACCCUGAAAACCAUCAAUUUCACACCGGAGCCUUAACUCUCGUGGCCCGGUACCAAACGACUCACGGACCGCUGCUGUACAGAACCUGUGAUGUCCAGACGGUGUUCCUCUGGUGUUCUGCUGUGAAAACCUUUGGGCUUAGGGAUUAACAUAGUUGCCAUGGUUUCCUUUCUUCUCUUAUUUGUUGUGUGUGAUCAGGACAAUUUUGGAGAGGAUGGGCCUGCAGGGGAAAGUCACCCCCUUGCAGGCCAGAAGACAUGAGAUAACUUUAAAGAAUACAAAGAUUGCAAGUAUCCAAGCUCAGGAGAGGGAGUCAGUGGGAAGCCCACUGCUGCUACUUGGCCCUGGUUUGCCCUCAUGGAUGAGGUGAUAGGACAGAUGCCUUCCAUUAAGCCUCCUGUCCUAAUUUCCUCUCUCCCUGAGGACACUCCAGGGCCAAGCGCAGCAGUGGGUGACCAAAACGACAGCGAUGACGAAGCAGC
ensembl:lncRNA